GAAUAGUGUGUACAUUUGCUGCUGGGUCGGAACAACGAUGCUGAGGAUGUGGGGGACAAGCAUGACGCAGAAGGAAAAAACUGGCUUAAGACAUCUAUGAGCCACGCUGUGGAAAAAUAGGGCUUAAUGCAUGUGCUUAGAUUGUAGUCCCAGAUUAGCCUGUGCAGUCUGCACAGGCUACUUAGGGACAACAAUUACCUCUUUAAAGGAGAGCACUAGCAUUGAUAUCUAGUUGGCCAAGCAACAGCACCAGUCCGACCUGCAGGAGCCCCAAUACAGAACCAUCCUUUCCCUCCCCUGAUCCCUAGCUCCUCCCACUGGACCUCUGGCCUCAAAGGGUCAGCAUCGUUACACAAGUCUGUUCUGCAAUAAAUCCUCAGCACGUCAAGUUUUCACGCGCUGUUAUGAACAACCAAAAUGUCCGCGUCGAGAUUUCCCCAAGCAAACCUGAGUAGUUUUGUUUAGCUCUAGUGCCCGAGUGGGAUGAGUGUUACAGAAGCGAGACAUUAAAGCAGCACUUAUGGUAACGCUAACAGUGAACGCUAACAGUUAGUUCUCGCUGUGGACAUCACAAAGAAUCUCACGAAGAAUUAAGCGUUGAAUAAUUUGUUUAAUUCUUUAUAAGACACAGGGUUCGCACUGUGAGGGCUUGAAAAGUGCAUGAAAACGAGUCCUAGGCUUGAAAAGCUCUUGAACAAAGGUUGGCCUUAAAAAGGUGCUUAAAAAGUGCUUAGUUCAUGUAAAAAAGCCUUGAAAAUGUUUAUUUCUGCUCAAAAUUACUUUUAUCAUGGCUUUAAUUAUAAACUUAAAUCUUUCUUAUGGGAAAUAUUACGAAAAUGUAUCAUAGAUUCCUUCGCGCAAAAAGUUGAGUACGAAAUAUAAGUUUCGUACACUAUUGAGAACGAAAUGUUAUGUGUACAUGUCACAGAUUAUGUGUGCUACAUCAGAGGUUUUCCAUUGUGAUCAAUUUUCGCGAGUGAAAACGCAGCAAUGGGGAAGUGUCGUUUCAAACCAGGGUGGUUAACUGAAUAUUCCUGGGUACAGAAAACAAAUGACAUUCGAAAAGCACAUUGUUGGGUCUGUAUGAAGACCAUUGAUGUCGGGGGUAUGGGGGAAAGCGCUUUGAAAAGCCACAAGAAAGUGAAAACCCUCAAAGAAAACUUGAAAUUGAGAAGCAAACAGGGUUCCUGCGAUGUGUUUUUUGUUAAACAGGAAGGUACUAUUGUUAAAACUGUUAAAUCUAAAACAGACAUAAAAAACAACAGCCCAUCUGUGUCGAACCAGGAAGGCAUAGCCACAUGCAGAGAGUGUGCAGAUAGAAGAUUCAAAUUCCAGGACCUUCGCAACUUUCAGCUGUAGUAUCAAACUCGCAGACAUCCAUAGACAAAUUCGUUUAAAAAAAUGAUAUGUUGAACGCGAAAGUAUUGUGGGUAUUUAUACCGUUUGCACACAACCAUCAUUUAAUUCCAAUAAAAACAUUACAAAGUUUUUUCAGGUUGUGUUCCAUGACAGUACCAUAGCAAAGCAUAAUUAUGUGGCUGUUUUGGGGCUAGCUGAGCAUUUCAAAACUGUACUUGAUAGUUCUAUAACUUAACCCUUUGCAUGCUGGGUAAUUUGUCUUCUGCUAAAAUGUCGUCUGCUGAAUUUAUAAAAUUAGCAUUUUCUUUGAUCUUUUUCAAAGAAUACUAUCAGAAUAGCAAACAGUUUGGAUCCAGAUGAGACGCCACCGCUUUAAGGGUUAAUUAGUGGACAGUACUCAGUGUCUCAGUACUCAGUGUCUUUUGAUGAAAGUUUAAACAAGAAAGACCAAUCCAAGCAAAUGGAAAAUGCAUUUUUUUAAAGGAAACUACAGUUUACGGACUUGAAAAUGAAUAUUUGGCCUUGGAAAGUCCUUGAAAAGUGCUUGAGUUUAGGUUUGAGAUUUCUGUUUGAACCAUGAGACAGCUAUAUAUUCAGCAAGGAACGAGAGCAAAUCAAGGAACAAUCGAAACGAUUCAUUCAGAAGUGUUUCUGCUGUAGAUAGUUAGGACAGUAGUAGCAUUACAGACUGUCCUCAGCGCACAAUAUAUUCAUGUGGUGCGCCUCAGACGCAAAUUUCCCCCAUUAUUGAAAACAAGUUGCUAAAAGUUUUGCACUCCGAGCCCGAAGGGCAUUGCAUUGAAUUGAGACUAAAGAAGGCUUAAAAACAUGACACCAGUUGUGUUGUAUGGUCCAUUACGCCCUUCGACUCUCAACCCGAAGUUUAUCAGAACUCCAACUCGGCCGUUAACAAUAUCCGCGAGGCCAGCAUAUCAGCUCAGCCUCUGAGCUUCAGCAAACACUAUAAGCCGCCAAGAUAAAAACAUCGUUGAAGUGAAAGUCGAUGACAAUCCUGACCCCUUCGCUUAAGUAAUUCAGCACAAAAACGUCUUGCGUCAGAGUAGCAAGCCUCCAAACAUCUUCUCCCAUGUUGGCUUCAUCAACACUUCUUACAGCGUAGCCUUGACGAGUUCGACUUCCAUCCCAGCAUCGAUGUCGCUUAGCAACAAUUCAAUGCUGGGAAUUGACAAAUUGUUCUAGACGAGUCGCUUAAACAGAAACUAUCUGAUCCAACAGAUAGAGCGUUGCGUGACUUGUCCCUUAUUUCGACUGAACUCGAGAAGUUGCUCUCGAAUAAUGUGAACCUUAUGCCAGUAUGCGAUUGACACCAUUUAACAACAGUUGCUGUUGAGAAUUCCCGGGUUUGAGGUGGCAACUUUGGCGUCGGGACUCGCUCCAUCUCUGUCUAUGGCACGGUCAAAGCAGCAGCAGCAGCAAUAAGAACAACAAGUGGUAUCUGAGCGGUGCUCUGGGAUACGGGGAAUCAUAGCCGGUUCCUACAGGAUCCCAUGCUGUCACAGAUCGGUACCCAGCUGGAUAACAGGCUUUCUGGUAAGCUGGGCCCGGAUAGGUGCAGGCAGUCUAAAGCUUGGGCUCCAAACUUUCCUGCCAAGUAGGCUGAUAUUACCUCUUCUACAAGGGACAUAUGUCAGUGAUGCGCAAAGAGCUGGUGUUCUGUUCACAGAGAAAAAUCCUAACAACUCCAACUCAGCCACUACAUCUCAAUAGACAACCUGAAUAUCAAGGCGUUAAGUUUCUUCUGGAUGCAGUUACAGUCACAGCUUUCAAGCCAGCAGCUGUCGAUGUAUUAAGAUUCUCUCCUCUCCAUGUUACCUGACCUGCUGCCUGUGAACAUCCUGCACAUAGAACCUUUAUCCCAAUCGAUGUAAUUAAACCGGCCAAUCAAAAAGAUAGCCUGGUACAGCACUUGUCAUUAGAUUGACGCCAUGCAUGCCUUUGAAGAUCAUUUAUACAUACAAUUUAAGCAUGAUAGUCAAUAAGUGCCUGCGUUGGCUUCUUAAACUACUCGCAGUCCUGAGCAUUUACGAUGGAAUUCCUCAUCUUGAAAUAUUGGGAAGGCAGGAAAACACCUGACAAUAUUUAACUUAUUUAUUGUAUAAACAAGACAUGCUUAUUUUUAGUUUUUACCUAUAAAAUAGCAAUAUGUGCUAGGUAAAAUAAUUGAUCAGAACGGUUCAUAAUUGUGAUGCUUCUAUUUUGAUAUGUCUGUCAUUAUGUCUGUGUACAUAUUUCUCAUCAGUUUGCUCUUUUGAGGCAGUAUUUAGUUGAGAAUUUCAUGUAGUGAUGUAAUACUAAAAUAUCAAAUAAUAAUUUUAUUUAUUCAAACUAUAUUUACCUUCUGUUAAUUAUUGAUUUAUUUAUUGACAACAGACACUUUGUUUAAUAUUAACAACAGUUAAGCGCGUUAUAAAAAUUGUGUGAAUGUACAUGUGAAUUGUGAUAAUUAAUGCACACAUUAAUUGAAAAACUAUUUAAAUAAAGUGGAAUUUAGAAGUGCAUCAUAAUUGUAAUGGAGUUUAUUUAAUUAUUAAAAAAGGAUGCUUUCAUUGUUGAAAAUAUGAUAGUAAUUCAUCCACAAUUAAUUUUGUUUCAAAGUGAGUAUUUUCAUGAAUAAUGUUCCUAGAUAUGGUUGUAGAUUGUUCUUGUUGUAUCAUAUACUGACAUGCUCAUUAUUUAUGUUGACAUUUGCAUUCUAGCAUUAAAAGUUCAUUAUGCUUUAAAUAUUUGUAUGUACACAUUUGCGACCAGCUUUUCUAAUGUAAUAAGUGAAUAACGUUACACAGAUUUAUGUGUCAUUGUAUAAAAGUUUAUUUUGUCGUUUGUAUAUAGAUCAACUGCAAAGCUAAUGGUUUUGUUUGUACAUUAUUCAUAAAAUGUUGCCAUUUCAAACAGAUACAUUCACUGUUUGAAUUCAUUUGUACAAAAUUGUUUCAUAUUAAACAUCAUUUACAUAUCAGGCAAUAGAGAAAAAGAAUUGCUUUGGAUGAAUGCGCACAUAAACCUGUAUAGUUAAUUAAGACAUGCAUAAUAUCAGAUCAUUAACAUAAUAAUAUACUUUAAGCAUUAGAAACACCUUGUUUUAUGUCAAGCUUUUCAGUUAUUAUAAUAAGCAACUAUUAUCUGGAAAUUUGGAAAACAGUAAAGAACGAUUCAAGGGAGAGCAAUUGUGAUAUACUAAAUAAAAGUCGUCUCCCUUGUUAGAGUAUAAUUGUACCUCUCAAUGUAACAAGAACAUUGAAUCUUUUUUUUUAUUAUUCCACACUAUAAACUAUAUACUAUAUUCAUUCAAUAAUCAUUUAAGAAAUAUGGUUUGCAUAAUUGUUUAUUUCUAUGCGUUAUACCAAAUUCACCAGUAUGGCAUCAAUUUAAGUUCAUCAUAUUUUAAUUGCCAAAAUUGGCCAUACAGUGCUAAAAGUUUGGUAUUCUGAAUAUUAUAAGUGCAUGUUCUCAUACAAAUUCACAUUGUAUUUUUUAACACUGAAGCAAUAUGUGUUAAUAUAUUAAUUUUUAUUUAGUGACUUGUUGUUGCUUGUUAAGGUGUCUAAUUUUGAAUUAUAGCUAUUAAUUGAUUGUGACUAUUUUCCAGUUUUGAAUGAUUGCUUUUAGUUGAUUUUUACAAGUUUGUAAAAGCUGUUUUCAUGUUGACCGCUCCACAUUAAAUGUCAUUGACGCGCAUUCACUGCGGCCAGGUUCCGUAAAACUCCCAACUCAUCUGCUGUCUUAUGAUUAGAUUCCAUACACACAUGGUUGUUUAUAUCAGCUUGCUUUGCAUUAAACAUGUCUGCUUUGUUGUUGAACAAUUAUACACAGCUUUUUAUUGGACAAAAUUGUGCAACAUUUCAAAUUUUGGCUUUCAAUUUUUUAUUUCCAACAAAAAUAUAUUUUGUUUAUUUGUAUGUAUAUUUAGCUAUAAUAAAAUUGUUUCUAUAAUAUAUAAACAACCUAUUUAUAAGCAAUAAACUAUAUUAGUAAAAGUAGAUUUAAGGUUCAAAAUCAUGUCUUAAUUUGUUCGAUUAUCCCAAAUUAACAUUUUGCAAUAGCAAAACUUUUUGAAUAAAGAAAACUUGAUGCAACGUACCACCAGGUCUUUUAACCAUUGAUUGUGUAUUACUAACGAUCAGGACUUAAUCAGAAAUUAAUAAUUGCCUUUGCACGGUUAUAAUGUUUGUGUUAUUAAAUUGAAUAUUUCUGUAGUUUGGUGCACAUUAAUUGUUGUUGUUUUUUUAAAGACAUAGCACAUGUCAUAUAAUAUAAUAUCAUUGUAGUUUUGGUAUGUUUAGGGAUAUAAUCAUGUUAAUGUAUGUGAUUUGCUGAUCCAUUUCUUGUUGUUUCACUCCAUUUAAUGUAUAUAGCCAUGCAUAGAGCAGGAAUAUUGUUGUACUGUGAAAAAAAUGUUGUUAUAGCAAAUAAAAAAUGUAUGUUAA